GGGCCUCUAGCUCAAUGGGCAGAGCAGCGGACUUUUAAUCCGCGGGUUGUGGGUUCGAGUCCCACGGGGCCCACCA
rnacentral:tRNA from 1 species